GACGUAGGGGGCGAGCGUUAUCCGGAUUUAUUGGGCGUAAAGCGCGCGCAGGCGGCCGUGCAAGUCGGAUGUGAAAACACGAGGCUCAACCUCGUGCCUGCAUUCGAUACUGCUCGGCUAGAGGCAGGUAGGGGAGAUCGGAAUUCCCGGUGUAGCGGUGAAAUGCGUAGAGAUGCGGAGGAACACCGAUGGCGAAGGCAGCCCCCUGGGCUGACACUGACGCUCAGGCACGAAAGCGUGGGGAGCAAACAGG
rnacentral:rRNA from 1 species